UACGUAGGGGGCAAGCGUUGUUCGGAUUCAUUGGGCGUAAAGGGCGCGUAGGCGGCCCGCUAAGUCGAACGUGAAAUCCCCGAGCUCAACUCGGGAACUGCGUCCGAUACUGGCGGGCUUGAAUCCGGGAGAGGGAUGCGGAAUUCCAGGUGUAGCGGUGAAAUGCGUAGAUAUUCGCAAGAACACCAGUGGCGAAGGCGGCUCACUGGCCCGGUACUGACGCUGAGGUGCGAAAGCGUGGGGAGCAAACAGGAUUAAGAAACCCUGGU
rnacentral:rRNA from 1 species